GAUGAACGCUGGCGGCGUGCCUAAUACAUGCAAGUCGAGCGAACGGACGAGAAGCUUGCUUCUCUGAUGUUAGCGGCGGACGGGUGAGUAACACGUGGAUAACCUACCUAUAAGACUGGGAUAACUUCGGGAAACCGGAGCUAAUACCGGAUAAUAUUUUGAACCGCAUGGUUCAAAAGUGAAAGACGGUCUUGCUGUCACUUAUAGAUGGAUCCGCGCUGCAUUAGCUAGUUGGUAAGGUAACGGCUUACCAAGGCAACGAUGCAUAGCCGACCUGAGAGGGUGAUCGGCCACACUGGAACUGAGACACGGUCCAGACUCCUACGGGAGGCAGCAGUAGGGACUCUUCCGCAAUGGGCGAAAGCCUGACGGAGCAACGCCGCGUGAGUGAUGAAGGUCUUCGGAUCGUAAAACUCUGUUAUUAGGGAAGACCAUAUGUGUAAGUAACUGUGCACAUCUUGACGGUACCUAAUCAGAAAGCCACGGCUAACUACGUG
rnacentral:rRNA from 1 species